rnacentral:rRNA from 1 species
AGCAGUAGCCGCGGGAAUACGUAGGUGGCAAGCGUUGUCCGGAAUUAUUGGGCGUAAAGGGCUCGCAGGCGGUUUCUUAAGUCUGAUGUGAAAGCCCCCGGCUCAACCGGGGAGGGUCAUUGGAAACUGGGAAACUUGAGUGCAGAAGAGGAGAGUGGAAUUCCACGUGUAGCGGUGAAAUGCGUAGAGAUGUGGAGGAACACCAGUGGCGAAGGCGACUCUCUGGUCUGUAACUGACGCUGAGGAGCGAAAGCGUGGGGAGCGAACAGGAUUAGAUACCCCCGUAGUCCUGUCUCUUAUACA